rnacentral:rRNA from 1 species
AUUGAACGCUAGCGGGAUGCCUUACACAUGCAAGUCGAACGGAGUGGCGAACGGGUGAGUAAUGUAUCUGAACGUGCCCAGUAGCGGUGGAUAACUACGCCAAAGCGUAGCUAAUACCGCAUACUAUUGGUCGGGCCGAUAUGGGAUUAGCUAGUUGGUGGGGUAACGGCUCACCAAGGCGACGAUCCGUAGCUGGUUUGAGAGGAGGACCAGCCACACUGGGACUGAGACACGGCCCAGACUCCUACGGGAGGCGGCAGUGGGGAAUUUUGGACAAUGGGGGAAACCCUGAUCCAGCCAUGCCGCGUGUGUGAUGAAGGCCUUCGGGUUGUAAAGCACUUUUGGCAGGAAAGCGGUACCUGCAGAAUAAGCACCGGCUAACUACGUGCCAGCAGCCGCGGUAAUAC